ACAGUCUGGGUUCUCUUCAGAUCGUAUAAAUCUUUCGCCUUUUACUAAAGAUUUCCGUGGAGAGGACCAUUAUGACUUUUAACUAAUUUUUUGAUGCCCUGCCUUGUGCGGGGCU
rnacentral:snRNA from 1 species